GCCACAGCUCAGUGGCAGAACACAUGCCUGGCAUGUAGAAGGCCCCAGGUUCAAAUCCUGACAGCUCCA